rnacentral:tRNA from 2 species
GGGCCUCUAGCUCAGUUGGUAGAGCAGCGGACUUUUAAUCCGCGGGUCGUGGGUUCGAGGCCCACGGGGCCCA